CCUACGGGUGGCAGCAGCAAGGAAUCUUCGGCAAUGGGCGCAAGCCUGACCGAGCAACGCCGCGUGGAGGACGACGGCCUUCGGGUUGUAAACUCCUUUUCUGGGGGACGAUACGGACGGUACCCCAGGAAUCAGCCCCGGCUAACUCUGUGCCAGCAGCCGCGGUAAUACAGAGGGGGCAAGCGUUGUCCGGACUUACUGGGCGUACAGCGCGCGCAGGCGGUGCCAUAUGUGCCCGGUGACAUCGGCUCGCUCAACGAGCCGCGGUCUGGGUAGACAGUGGCGCUGGAGGCAGGGAGAGGGAUGUGGAAUACCCGGUGGAGCGGUGAAAUGCGUAGAGAUCGGGUGGAACACCAGCGGCGAAGGCGGCAUCCUGGCCCUGUUCUGACGCUGAGGCGCGAUAGCGUGGGGAGCAAACGGGAUUAGAUACCCGGGUAGUC
rnacentral:rRNA from 1 species